GCAGUCGAGGGGUAUAGUUCUUCGGAACUAGAGACCGGCGCACGGGUGCGUAACGCGUAUGCAAUCUACCUUUUACAGAGGGAUAGCCCAGAGAAAUUUGGAUUAAUACCUCAUAGUAUAUAGCCCUGGCAUCAGGAUUAUAUUAAAGUCACAACGGUAAAAGAUGAGCAUGCGUCCCAUUAGCUAGUUGGUAAGGUAACGGCUUACCAAGGCUACGAUGGGUAGGGGUCCUGAGAGGGAGAUCCCCCACACUGGUACUGAGACACGGACCAGACUCCUACGGGAGGCAGCAGUGAGGAAUAUUGGACAAUGGGCGCAAGCCUGAUCCAGCCAUGCCGCGUGCAGGAUGACGGUCCUAUGGAUUGUAAACUGCUUUUAUACGAGAAGAAACACUCCUUCGUGAAGGAGCUUGACGGUAUCGUAAGAAUAAGGAUCGGCUAACUCCGUGCCAGCAGCCGCGGUAAUACGGAGGAUCCAAGCGUUAUCCGGAAUCAUUGGGUUUAAAGGGUCCGUAGGCGGUUUAAUAAGUCAGUGGUGAAAGCCCAUCGCUCAACGGUGGAACGGCCAUUGAUACUGUUAGACUUGAAUUAUUAGGAAGUAACUAGAAUAUGUAGUGUAGCGGUGAAAUGCUUAGAGAUUACAUGGAAUACCAAUUGCGAAGGCAGGUUACUACUAAUUGAUUGACGCUGAUGGACGAAAGCGUGGGUAGCGAACAGGAUUAGAUACCCUGGUAGUCCACGCCGUAAACGAUGGAUACUAGCUGUUGGAAGCAAUUUCAGUGGCUAAGCGAAAGUGAUAAGUAUCCCACCUGGGGAGUACGUUCGCAAGAAUGAAACUC
rnacentral:rRNA from 1 species